GAGGAAUCACAUACUCACCUGGAAAUCAGAGGAUAUUGGACACAGGCCACCUGCCAAUAAUACCUGGGAAUAAAACUACAUCUGUUCAAGGACUUAUCUUUUGAAUUAAGGAGAAUAAAGUCUACAGGCAUGGAUAAACGACUGCUCCUCAGUUUUUUGUUGGUGACACUGUCCUUGGAAUUUAUGGCCACCUAUGCUCAGAGCAAUACAACC